rnacentral:rRNA from 1 species
UGAGGAACAUGACCUUCGGCGGGGGAGUAGCCGGCCCAACGGCCGGGUAAUACCGCGUACGACCACAUGGGGACAUCCCUGAGUGGUGAAAGCAGCAAUGCGCCGAUGGAGUGCCUCGCGGCCUAUCAGCUAGUUGGUGAGGUAACGGCUCACCAAGGCGACGACGGGUAGCUGGUCUGAGAGGAUGGCCAGCCACAUUGGGACUGAGACACGGCCCAGACCUCUACGGGAGG